GAUGAACGCUGGCGGCGUGCCUAAUACAUGCAAGUCGAGCGAACAGACGAUGAUCUUGCUCCUCUGACGUUAGCGGCGGACGUGUGAGUAACACGUGGAUAACCUACCUAUAAGACUGGUAUAACUUCGGGAAACCGGCGCUAAUACCGGAUAAUAUAUUGAACCGCAUGGUUCAAUAGUGAAAGACGGUUUUGCUGUCACUUAUAGAUGGAUCCGCGCCGCAUUAGCUAGUUGGGAAGGUAACGGCUUACCAAGGCGACGAUGCGUAGCCGACCUGAGAGGGUGAUAGGCCACACUGGAACUGAGACACGGUCAAGACUACUACGGGAGGCAGCAGUAGGGAAUCUUACGCAAUGGGCGAAAGCAUGACGGAGCAACGCCGAGUGAGUGAUGAAGGUCUUCGGAUCGUAAAAAUCUGUUAUUAGGGAAGAACAAAUGUGUAAGUAAAUAUGCACGUCUUGACGGUACCUAAUCAGAAAGCAACGGCUAACUACGUG
rnacentral:rRNA from 1 species